rnacentral:lncRNA from 10 species
GAUGGAUCACCUGAGGUCAGGAGUUCAUAGACCAGCCUGGCCAACAUGGCAAAACCCCGUCUCUACUGAAAAUACAAAAAUUAGCCAGGCAUGGUGGCAGGUGCCUGUAAUCCCAGCUAUUUGGAAGGGUGAGACAUGAGAAUCACUUGAACCUGGGAGAGGGAGGUUGCAGUGAGUGGAGAUUGUGCCAUUGCACUCCACCCUGGUUGACAGAGUGAGACUCUGUCUCAAAAAUCAAUCAAUAAAUAAGCUGGGUACAGCGGCUCAUGUCUAUAAUUCCAGCACUUUGGGAGUCUGAGGUAGGAGGGUAACCUGAGCCCAGGAGUUCAAGACCAGCCUGGGCAGCAUAGCGAGACCCUAUGUCUACCAAAAAAAAAAAAAAGUCAGCCAGGUAUGGUGGCACACAGCUGUAGUCCCAGCUACUUGGGGGCCUGAGGUGGGAGGAUCACUUGAGCCUGGGAGUUUGAGGCUGUGUGAGGCAUAAUAGCACCAAGACACUCUAGCCUGGACGACAGAGCAAGGCCCUAUCUCUAAAUAAUUAAAUACUAAGGUGCUCAGGGAAGGCUCUACUGAGAAGGUGACAUUUCAGCAAAGACUCAAAGGACAUUAGGGAGCAGGCCAUAUGCUUAUCUAGGGGAAGAAUAUUUUAGGCUGAGAAAGUAGCAAAGUGCAAAGGACCCCAGGCCGGGGCAUGCUUGGUGUAUAUGAGGAACAGCAAGAAACCCAAUGUGGGCUGGUCUGAGUGCAGUGUUUACAACUCUUGAUUACAGAUUUCUUUGUUCCUUCUCCAUCCCCACUGCUUCACUUGACUAGUCUUAAAAUAUAUAUCUACAUGUGAAAAAAGAAAAAAUGAAAAAGACCAGUGUGGGUAGAAAGGAGUGAGUGACAGAAUCGGAUAGGGCAGCUCCUGUAGGGCUUUGAAUGCCUGUGAUGGCUUUGACUUUUACAUGAUGUCACGAUGUGAACUGGGAAGCUCUUGGAGGGUUUUGAACAGUAGGGAGACAAGAUUUGCUUUAUAGUUAGGCUCACUGGCUUCUGAGUUGAAUACAGGGUUUGAAGAAGUGAGGCCAACUGGGAAGUGAUUAUAGCAAUCUAUGUAAGAGAUGAUGGCUUGGUAGAGAAGGCAAGGAAAAGAUUCUGGAUAUAUUUUGACGGUAGGGCCAACAGGAUUUCCUGAUAAUUGGAUGAAGGGGCUAAAGAACAAGAAGGGUCGGGGACCGUAAUUCAAGGCCCUUGGCCUGAGCAGCUAGAAGAAUGUAUUAGGUUGAACCAAAUGAAAUCACCAAUAUUUGAUAGUUCUUAACCUUAAAAGGCAAUUUCAUAUAUUUCAACUUAAUAGUUGUCAUUGACUGAGAUGGGGAAAAGUAUGUGAGGAAGAGGUGAGGAGGUGGUAUCAGAAAUUUAUUUUUGGACAUGAGAUGUCGCACAGGCAGCUAUGUAUAUGCCUCUGAGUUCAGGGGUGUCUUAGUCUUUUUUCUGUUGCUAUAACAGAAUAACACAGAGCCCUCACAACCUAAUCA